GAAGUAAAUAUUUAUAACACUGAAAGAGGGCAAGAAACAAAAAAGCUGGCUGUUCAGACUACUUACUGUGUUGUUGAGAACAAGAGAGAAAGACGGGAAUUAAUAUUUUUCAGAGUUUAGCAACAGGAGUGAUUCAGAAACCAGCUUUGACGCGGCAUCUUAGAUAAAUGUACUAAGUUGGGUCAAACCUGGCAGGUAGAGCUGGAGGUGCUGAUAUGGACUUAAAUCUGUCCAGAAACACAAAUACUGCUCUUGAAAAACAUUCCCAUUUAUAAUACAUCUAUUUAGCACACCAGUCAAAUAAAAAGUGUAAUUUGUAUUUGUAUCACUAAACUGCACAAAGACACGGCAUUUAAAAAAAUUAAAAAAUGAGGAAGAAAAAACAAUGUUGUAGAAAAGGGAAGGGACUGGAUGGUUGUUCAGUGGUCUGAAAUAAUAUUUUACAUGAAAGUACAUUUAGCAUUUGGAGUUUCACUGUCAGAGAUUAUUUGUGGCGACAUGUCAUCUGCUAGUGUUGGUGUAUUAUGUUUUAAUAAGUCCAAAAGCCAGGAAGAUUUAGAGCUUAAAAGCUUCCUUCUGCUUAUAGGCUUCAUGGAGAGGCUGAUUUCAUUUUCAAACAAGACUUUCUUGCUGCCCACACUGACAAAAGUAGGAAUAGCUACUUUUAAUGACCAACUGAGAUGGAUUGGCUAUCAAACUGGUCUAGCCCUACGAAGAAACUAUGAGGUUAAGUUCAAGAGGAACAUAAGAAACACCAGAAUCAACAAUCCAGACAAACUGAAGGCAACUAGAAGCAACCAACCUGGGCUUUCUCAGCUGAGCUACAGGCUGAUCACCUCCAUGAAAUCCAUGCAAAACGAGCCAAGAGCAAGAAUACUUGGCAGCCCUGACUACAGACUCCUCUGGGAAAUCAGCCCACUUCCUGUUGCAUCGGAGGCAGAGGAGGAGCAGCGAGUGGAGGGAGAAAUCGGGAGGAUGCAAAGAGGCUGCUCUACAGUUAUUUAGUCAAGCUGCACUUUUCAUCCUUCCUGUCAUACCUGGUUCAGUUAGAUGCUCGGACAGCGCAUCUCGAAGCGACCCAGUGGACCCAGACCGAGAACAGCCGCCAGCAUCCUUAU